GACGAACGCUGGCGGCAUGCCUAACACAUGCAAGUCGAACGAGACCUUCGGGUCUAGUUGCGCACGGGUGCGUACCGCGUGGGAACUUGCCCUUAAGUUCGGAAUCACUCCCCUAGGGGGGUGCUAAUACCGGAUAAUGUCUUCGGACCAACGAUUUUUCGCCGUUGGGUGGGCCCGUGUUGGAUUCGCUAGUUGGUAGGGUAAAAGCAUACCAAGGCGACGAUCCAGAGCUGGUCGGAGAGGAUGACCAGGCACACUGGGACUGAGACCCGGACCAGACUGCUACGGGAGGGAGCAGUGGGGAGUAUUGGAGAAUGGGCGAAAGCCUGAUCCAGCAAUGCCGCGUGAGUGAUGAAGGCCUUAGGGUUGUAAAGCUCUUUUACCCGGGAUGAGAAUGACAGUAACGGGAGAAUAAGCUCCGGCUAACUACGUG
rnacentral:rRNA from 1 species